AGGUGGAGCAAGUGAACAGUUACCUUUCACGUUGUGCCCUGACGACCAAAUACAUGUCAAAAGCAGCACGGGUGGACAUGCUUACAUUGCAUGCAAUGGGGUGGAACGA